GACGAACGCUGGCGGCGCGCUUAACACAUGCAAGUCGAGCGAGAACCCAGGCUUCGGCCUGGGGGAAAGCGGCGAACGGGUGAGUAACACGUGGGUAAUCUGCCCUCGGCAUCGGGAUAGCCCGGGGAAACCCGGAUUAAUACCGGAUGGCCCGACAGCUCUUCGGAGCGGUCGGAAAAGGUAGCUUCGGCCUCCGGCCGAGGAGGAGCCCGCGGCGGAUUAGCUUGUUGGUGAGGUAAUGGCUCACCAAGGCUCCGAUCCGUAGCUGGUCUGGGGGGCCGAGCAGCCAGACUGGGUCUGAGACACGGCCCAGACUCCUACGGGAGGCAGAGGGGGGGAAUCUUGCGCAAUGGGCGAAAGCGUGACGCAGCGACGCCGCGUGAGGGAAGAAGGCCUUCGGGUUGUAAACCUCUUUCAGGAGGGACGAAGCCACUCGGGUUAAUAGCCCAGAGGGUGACGGUACCUCCAGAAGAAGCCCCGGCUAACUACGUGCCAGCAGCCGCCGUAA
rnacentral:rRNA from 1 species